rnacentral:rRNA from 1 species
UACGAGGGGGGGCUAGCGUUGCUCGGAAUCACUGGGCGUAAAGGGUGCGUAGGCGGGUCUUUAAGUCAGGGGUGAAAUCCUGGAGCUCAACUCCAGAACUGCCUUUGAUACUGAAGAUCUUGAGUUCGGGAGAGGUGAGUGGAACUGCGAGUGUAGAGGUGAAAAUUCGUAGAUAUUCGCAAGAACACCAGUGGCGAAGGCGGCUCACUGGCCCGAUACUGACGCUGAGGCACGAAAGCGUGGGGAAGCAAACAGGG